GAUGAACGCUGGCGGCGUGCCUAAUACAUGCAAGUCGAGCGAACGGACGAUAAUCUUGCUUCUCUGUUGUUAGCGGCGGACGGGUGAGUAACACGUGGAUAACCUACCUAUAAGACUGGGAUAACUUCGGGAAACCGGAGCUAAUACCGGAUAAUAUUUUGAACCGCAUGGUUCAAAAGUGAAAGACGGUCUUGCUGUCACUUAUAGAUGGAUCCGCGCUGCAUUAGCUAGUUGGUAAGGUAACGGCUUACCAAGGCAACGAUGCAUAGCCGACCUGAGAGGGUGAUCGGCCACACUGGAACUGAGACACGGUCCAGACUCCUACGGGAGGCAGCAGUAGGGAAUCUUCCGCAAUGGGCGAAAGCCUGACGGAGCAACGCCGCGUGAGUGAUGAAGGUCUUCGGAUCGUAAAACUCUGUUAUUAGGGAAGAACAUAUGUGUAAGUAACUGUGCACAUCUUGACGGUACCUAAUCAGAAAGCCACGGCUAACUACGUG
rnacentral:rRNA from 1 species